GAUGAACGCUAGCUACAGGCUUAACACAUGCAAGUCGAGGGGAAACGAUAGGGAAAGCUUGCUUUUUCUAGGCGUCGACCGGCGCACGGGUGAGUAACGCGUAUCCAACCUGCCCAUCACUUGGGGAUAACCUUGCGAAAGUAAGACUAAUACCCAAUGACGUCUCUAGAAGACAUCUGAAGGAGAUUAAAGAUUUAUCGGUGAUGGAUGGGGAUGCGUCUGAUUAGCUUGUUGGCGGGGUAACGGCGCACCAAGGCGACGAUCAGUAGGGGGACUGAGAGGAAGGGCCCCCACAGUGGAACUGAGACACGGUCCAAACUCCUACGGGAGGCAGCAGUGAGGAAUAUUGGUCAAUGGACGAGAGUCUGAACCAGCCAAGUAGCGUGCAGGAAGACGGCCCUAUGGGUUGUAAACUGCUUUUAUAAGGGAAUAAAGUGAGUCUCGUGAGACUUUUCGCAUGUACCUUAUGAAUAAGGACCGGCUAAUUCCGUGCCAGCCGCCGCAGUAA
rnacentral:rRNA from 1 species